rnacentral:tRNA from 2 species
GCGCGAGUAGCUCAGCGGAUUAGAGCGCAGCCCUGCGGAGGCUGAGGCCCCGGGUUCGAAUCCCGGCUCGCGUACCA